rnacentral:rRNA from 1 species
CAUGUCCUUUUGAUUAUAAUUUAAGGUCUAACCUGCCCAGUGAAGCUUUAAAUGGCCGCGAUAUUUUGAUCGUGCGAAGGUAGCAUAAUCAUUAGUUUUUUAAUUGAAAGCUGGAAUGAAUGGUUGGAUGAGGGAAGUACUGUUUCAGUUAUAAUUUAAUAGAAUUUUAUUUUUGAGUAAAAAAGCUCAAAUUUUUAUUAAAGACGAGAAGACCCUAUAGAGUUUUAUAGUUUAAUUAUGUUAGCAACAUAGAAUCUAAUUGCUAUUAAUAAAGUUACUAUUUGGUUGGGGUGACAAAAUAAUUGAGUUAACUUGUUUUUAUUGUUUAUACUUAUAAGUAAAUUUUUGAUCUACUUUAGUAAUUAAAAGAUUAAAUUACCUUAGGGAUAACAGCGUAAUUUCUUUUAAGAGUUCAAAUCGAAAAUGGAGAUUGCGACCUCGAUGUUGGAUUAAAAUUUAAUUUUGGUGUAGAAGCUAAAAUUUUUAGUCUGUUCGACUAUUAAAAUUUUACAUGAUCUGAGU